AAAACACGGCCGCCUUCGACGUCGGGUGAGAGCCUCUGCACCAUCUCUCUGGAGUCUGGAGGCUGAAUGUGAGGCCUACUUCAGUAUGUUGAGACCCAGUUGACACCUGCACAACAGCACCAUGAGUGUGGCUUUCAUCUUUGCGGCUGCUUCCCCCAGAGCUGGAAAAGACAGACACCGUAACUGUUUGACCAACAAAUGUAUAGAAAAUAGUGUCUGGGUUCGGCACCGCUUCAGAGAUACGAAAGAGCGAACAGUGUUUUAAGGCCACCGUACAAUGUGACAACAGUGAUAGAUAUGCUAAUUUCUUCAUUCACUCCACUUCACUUCUUUUAUUCUUUCCAAUUAAAGCAAAUGCUACUGAAACUGUAAUUAAGCCAGGGCUGGGCCCUGAUUGCCCGCUGUUUUAAUGAAACCCUAUUGAUUUUCCUUUUCUUUCUAAUGGCCACACAUGGUGCUCAAUGGUCAAACACAUGCCCUGCUAUGAUGUCCCCAGCAAAACUGAAUUUUGGCUGGUAAAGUGGAGGCCCAAUGGAGAAGGUAUCUAAAGGACUGUUUACUGGCCAUGGCGGUGUGUGAGGCUCCACCUUGUGAGGCCACGCUGGGACAGGAAACGCCCGGGACUGCGUGACCUUCCAGAAGAAAUGGGACACCUUCGUGAAGAACUCAGACUCCUCUUAUGCUGGUGGUGUUGCCUUAAGGAGCAGCGUAUCCUAAGACCUUCUCCAAGGAAAUUUUCGGGAAUGAGCAUGGACUUGAUGUCAGAAGACCUAUGUGCCAUCUCAGCCUGCUCCUUGCUGGCUAGUAUGAUGGUGCUGCUUGGAGUCAAGGAAGAGCUGGGUUCUGAGAUGCUAGCUCAGGAUUCUGGGAGCAAGGAAGCAGAUGGCACCUGGAGGUGGUGGCCAGAGCAAAAUUCCCCGGAUGAGAGAGAGAGAGUUUGGAAUUGUUUAAAGAGCAAGAGACUGGAGAGAAAAAAUGGACCCCAGGAAUGGAGCUGCAGGGACCCUGGAAAAAGGGGACGCCAUCACGCCACUGUCGAGUUCUGUCAACUGUCAAGUUAA
rnacentral:lncRNA from 1 species